rnacentral:rRNA from 1 species
AUUGAACGCUGGCGGCAGGCCUAACACAUGCAAGUCGAGCGGCAGCGGAAAGUAGCUUGCUACUUUGCCGGCGAGCGGCGGACGGGUGAGUAAUGUCUGGGAAACUGCCUGAUGGAGGGGGAUAACUACUGGAAACGGUAGCUAAUACCGCAUAACGUCGCAAGACCAAAGAGGGGGACCUUCUGGCCUCUUGCCAUCAGAUGUGCCCCGAUGGGAUUAGCUAGUAGGUGGGGUAACGGCUCACCUAGGCGACGAUCCCUAGCUGGUCUGAGAGGAUGACCAGCCACACUGGAACUGAGACACGGUCCAGACUCCUACGGGAGGCAGCAGUGGGGAAUAUUGCACAAUGGGCGCAAGCCUGAUGCAGCCAUGCCGCGUGUAUGAAGAAGGCCUUCGGGUUGUAAAGUACUUUCAGCGGGGAGGAAGGUGUUGAGGUUAAUAACCUCAGCAAUUGACGUUACCCGCAGAAGAAGCACCGGCUAACUCCGUG